GGAGAGGUGGCCGAGUGGUCGAAGGCGCACGCCUGGAAAGUGUGUAGGCGGGGAACCGUCUCGAGGGUUCGAAUCCCUUCCUCUCCG
rfam:Tropicibacter naphthalenivorans strain CECT 7648 genome assembly, contig: 0001